GCAAGAGAGCAAGAGUCUUCAAAGUAGAGAGAAGCGCCAAGGUGCAAACAUUUAGCUGGAUAAAAGGUAAGAUUUAUUGUUGAAAUGAACAAGAAAAUAUUGUUGGGCACCGAUAGUGCAUGAAUAGACAACCUCUGUAUGAACAAAGAGACCCAUCUUGCUUCCUUAAUCUAUGUAUGUAUACAAUAUAUUCAUAUUUUCUUAAAAAUAAUUUCGAUUUUAUACUAAAAUGUUUACUGCAGAACUAAUAAUGCAAAGACAAGUAAAAACUAUAACUGCUUUUAAAAUAAAAUCUCCAACAAGCAAAAAAAAAGAAAGAUAAGAUGAAGAAAAAAUUAUAGCCUUAGUUAUUCAUAGUAUGUAUAAAGUCUUUGAAUUUUAGUAUUCUUUUGUCAUAAUCAUCUAAAACAUAAAUAAUAGCACCUGUAUUGUUGCCAUUGUGAGAUAUAGAUAUAGAGUUAGAAUUUAUGGAAUUCUUAUAAAUACAAAUUUGUCUAUUUCGUUUAUUAUGUAGACGUCUCUAGAAUAUAUUGUCUCUCCAAAUCAAUGGUUCUCUGCCACUAUCUGUCAAUAUACAAAUCGGAAAUAUCUCCAAGAUUUUAUUGAAUUUAUAGAUGUAAAUCCACAGGCUUCUGCUAUGUGUAGCGAUUUCUAUGGAUUUUUUGCGAGAGUUAUUUAUACGGAAGAAGAUGAACAAUUUAGUAGUAGGUUGAUACAUGAAUUCGUAAUGAGACUUGUACAUUGUGGUAAAAAUAACGAAGUGUGAGUACGGUUAGGUUAUCGUAUUGCUAGGUUUAGCAUGCAAAAAUAUUGUAUCAUCAUUGGAUUACCAUGCUAUGAACCAUCUGUGGAGAUUAAUCAUAAUAACUAUCGUCUUAUAAAUCAAUAUUUCAAUGGAACAAGAAGAGUUAAUAUGAGAAUAUUGCAUCAAGCGUUCCAUUCAUGCGAAGACUACAUAGAUAAAUUUAAGCUGGGAUUGGUUAUGUUUGUGGAAUGUGUUUUGAAACCAACUGGCAGAAUUAUUGAUUAUAAGACUCUUGGUAUGGUCGAGCAUCUCGAUGACUUUAUUGCUUAUCCAUGGGGUCAAAAAACAUAUUUUGUCUUGUUAAAUUCUUUGCAAGAAUCAUAAGCUGAAAUAGUGCAAAGAGCAUAACAAAAUCAAACAGAUUGCAAAUAUACAUUAAGAGGAUAUCUACUUGCAUUCCAGGUAAAUUUUUUCUGUUCUUUUAUUGUUAUAUAUAUUAUGUAUAACUUAUUUGUAUAACAAAAGAUUAUAAUUACUUGCAGUUCUGGAUAUAUAAAGUCUUUCCAGAGAUUGGAAAAAAAUUUGGACGCAGGAGAUAUAAAACAGCACAAAGUCCUCGAAUAUAUAAGUGGAGACCUAAUUCAAUAUUAACUGAGAAAAUGGUAAAACCUUUUUUGGCCACUGAGUACUUAUUGGGAGGACAACGACAAUUACAUUGGAAGGGACAUGUUGAAAAAUUUGUUGGAUGUAGGAAAAGAUGUAACUCCCACGAUCAAGUCAUGAAACAUGCAAAAGCAACACAUGGUACAAUCCAAGCAUUCAUUCUGAAUUCUGAGCUUUCUACUAGAAAGGAUGUAAGGAAACAUAGAAGCAAAACAAUGCAAGUGGAGAUAAUAUAUUAUCUACCAUGUGCAGGC